UUGGGUUUUAAUGGAGAAGUUGGAAUGUAAAAGGAGGAUUAUGAACAUAAAUUUGGGUCUACAGCUUCCACCCAAUAUUGUUGAGCUUACUACACUAGUGACCGUGGCUACUACAUUGGAAAAUAUAAUGGCAAACUUUAUGCAACUAUAUGGAUCCAUGGAACAUGUUGUAAUAAGGUUCAAUUAUGGAUGAUGCAAGUCUUUGAAGAUGGAGAGAGAUGGUUUAGUGUUGGGGGCGGACUCAUUUUUUGCUAUGAUAAAACUGGGACACAGAUCAAGCAAAAGUGUCUGUUGAGCAACGUCAAAGGAAGAGGACAUCUUGUAGGCCAAUUUUAUCACUUUGAUUCCUUGAAUUUUGGAUCUCUUCCAAACAUUUUAGUUGGAGACAACGAACGAAUAAUGAACUAAAUUUAUAUAUACUUUUUUUUUUUAUUUUCUUUCAUCUUAUUCAAGAGUUUAAAAAGAUUAUAUGUUACAACAGAGUUCUUGUAUUUGUUUAUCUCCCUCCAUAAUGGAAUAAAAGUUUAAGGAUAGCUCUUA